GCAGUUUCUGUCUUCUUUGAAAACCUCAUGAUCAAGGAUAAAAUGAUAGGAAGAAUGAAGAAUCAUGACCGGAGGUGCUGUUAAUAUCACUUCAAAUUAUAACACAAAAAAGGCUCAUUUGUGAGUGAUUCUUAUAAAGUCAAUGCUCGACGCAAAUAUAAGGCAAACCAUGUCCGGAGAGAGGGUUUAAUUGAAGUAGGCAGCUGUAAUUUGCAGAACGCAUUCGAGUUAACGAAGACUGAUCAUUGAUUCUGUACUUACAGUACUUUAAGCACUUGCGUAAUCAAAGACUGAAGAAUUGAAUGCAGACACCGUGGCACAGGGAUAUGCGGGGCUUCACAAAAGAAUCUCCAAAGCGCUAAGGUAUUUCUAGUGUUCUCAACACAAGAUGCCUCCAAUUUAUCUACUGUAAAAGAUGAGUUUUCAGUCUGCUUCAAAGUGAGGAAGGUCAGUUGUGU
rnacentral:lncRNA from 1 species